CUCGAUGGUAGAUGAUGAGACAUCUAUUUUGAUUUUGUCCGUCCAGACUUGGAGAACUAUGUGCUAAAUCAAAGGAAAAGAAAUGCACUCAUAGAAGACUGAUAUUUCUAAAGUCAAGUAGACUUUCUACUUGCUUCAUUAUGGGGAGACUGAGGACCACCUAUUCACCAGGAUUCAUGUACAGUGUCAGGCUGGAAAACCUUCAGGCCUCACCAACCUCAGCAUGUCUACAUACGGUUUUCGUUCAGCUUGAAUGACUGAAAUGCAUUGCCACUCUGUUUCCCUGGAUCUCAACACAUUUGCAGAUACCAUGGAUUACUUUCACACCCUCAGAAAAAAGAGUAAAUAGGAAUUAUUUUUUUAGAAAUUGUACAUCCGAAAAGUAUGAAUUUAAAAGUUUUGACAAGAGAGAAGAGAAAGUUCUCUUAUCCACUACCAACCCAGGGCCAUUUGUGCUUAGUGGUAGAAUAUUGGAAGUGUUUUUAAAGGAAUAUAUGAAUUUUGUAACCAUUCACAAUACUUUUGUAACAUUACGCAUUUUCCUGUAUCUUUUAUGCACCUGAAUUUGGCCUGUGCUGGAAAUUUUCUUCUAUGUGCAUUAUUAUGGAAGGAAUGUGUGUGUCCUUCUCAAACUUCAUAUAUUGUAACCCUAAUCCCCAAGGUGACGAUAUCUGGAGGUGCUGCCUUUGGGAAGUAAUUGAGGUUAGAUGAGGACAUGAGGAUGGGGCCCUCAUGAUAGAAUUAGGCUCCUUAUCAAAAGAGGAAGAGCCGAGAUCUUUCUCUCUCUCAGCCGUGUGAAAAUACACAAAGAUGCCUAUCUGCAAACCAGAAGGAGUGUUCUCACCGGGAACCAAAGCAACUGGCACCUUGAUCUUGGGCUUCCAGCCUCUAGAACUAUGAGAAAUAAAUUUUUGCUGUC
ensembl:lncRNA